AGUGGCGGACGGGUGAGUAACGCGUGAGAAUCUGCCUUGGGGUCGGGGACAACCACUGGAAACGGUGGCUAAUACCGGAUAAGCCGAUUGGUGAAAGAUUUAUUGCCCGAAGAGGAGCUCGCGUCUGAUUAGCUAGUUGGUGAGGUAAGAGCUCACCAAGGCAGCGAUCAGUAGCUGGUCUGAGAGGACGAUCAGCCACACUGGGACUGAGACACGGCCCAGACUCCUACGGGAGGCAGCAGUGGGGAAUUUUCCGCAAUGGGCGAAAGCCUGACGGAGCAAGACCGCGUGAGGGAGGAAGGCUCUUGGGUUGUAAACCUCUUUUCUCAGGGAAGAAGCUCUGACGGUACCUGAGGAAUCAGCCUCGGCUAACUCCGUGCCAGCAGCCGCGGUAAUACGGAGGAGGCAAGCGUUAUCCGGAAUUAUUGGGCGUAAAGCGUCCGCAGGUGGCGAUUCAAGUCUGCUGUCAAAGCACGGGGCUUAACUCCGUAAAGGCAGUGGAAACUGAAUAGCUAGAGUGCCGUAGGGGUAGAGGGAAUUCCCGGUGUAGCGGUGAAAUGCGUAGAGAUCGGGAAGAACAUCGGUGGCGAAAGCGCUCUACUGGACGGCAACUGACACUCAGGGACGAAAGCUAGGGGAGCGAAUGGGAUUAGAUGCCCC
rnacentral:rRNA from 1 species